UCCUGGCUCAGUAUUGAACGCUGGCGGCAUGCCUUACACAUGCAAGUCGAACGGCAGCGGACCUUCGGGUGCCGGCGAGUGGCGAACGGGUGAGUAAUAUAUCGGAACGUACCUUUCAGUGGGGGAUAACGUAGCGAAAGUUACGCUAAUACCGCAUAUUCUGUGAGCAGGAAAGCAGGGGGUCGCAAGACCUUGCGCUGAUUGAGCGGCCGAUAUCAGAUUAGCUAGUUGGUGAGGUAAAGGCUCACCAAGGCGACGAUCUGUAGCGGGUCUGAGAGGAUGAUCCGCCACACUGGAACUGAGACACGGUCCAGACUCCUACGGGAGGCAGCAGUGGGGAAUUUUGGACAAUGGGCGCAAGCCUGAUCCAGCCAUGCCGCGUGAGUGAAGAAGGCCUUCGGGUUGUAAAGCUCUUUCGGCCGGGAAGAAAUCGCACAGGUUAAUACCCUGUGUGGAUGACGGUACCGGAAUAAGAAGCACCGGCUAACUACGUG
rnacentral:rRNA from 1 species